GACGAACGCUGGCGGCGUGCUUAACACAUGCAAGUCGAACGAUGAAACCUAGCUUGCUAGGUCGAUUAGUGGCGAACGGGUGAGUAACACGUGACUAACCUGCCCCUUUCUCUGGGAUAACGCUCCGAAAGGAGUGCUAGUACCGGAUACUUACACCGAGGCACAUGCCUUGGUGUGGAAAGUUUUUCGGAAAGGGAUGGAGUCGCGGCCUAUCAGCUUGUUGGUGAGGUAACGGCUCACCAAGGCGACGACGGGUAGCCGGCCUGAGGGGGCGACCGGCCACACUGGGACUGAGACACGGCCCAGACUCCUACGGGAGGCAGCAGUGGGGAAUAUUGCACAAUGGGCGCAAGCCUGAUGCAGCGACGCCGCGUGAGGGAUGAAGGUCUUCGGAUUGUAAACCUCUUUCAGUAGGGACGAAGCGAAAGUGACGGUACCUAAAGAAGAAGCACCGGCUAACUACGUGCCAGCCGCCGCGGUAA
rnacentral:rRNA from 1 species